AUGGCAAAAAUGACAAAAUCCGGCCUGAACAGUAUGCAAACAGUAAACUUCUCACAGAUCCCAAAUUGUCUUUUUUUGCUGAGAACUACUCAGAUGCCCAAACACAAUGAAAUUUGUCACGUACAUCACGCACUUGAACAUCUCCCACGGGUGAAGAUGCACCUGAGGGCCAAAACACCCUCCUCCUGUGCUUCCUACUGGUGUGCAGGGAUUGUUAGCAUUGCAGCUGCUCCUGAACCCGAUAAGGUAAAAGUGGAACACCAUGAUGUGGUGCCAAGUGAGGAUUUCAAGAAGAAAAAAGAGAAAGACCCAUCAGGAUAUGAUGUAACUGGGGGAGAACAGAAUAGUGAGAAGAAGAAGAAGAAGAAGAAGAAGAAGAAGAAAGGCGGUGACGUUGUUGCUCUAGAGACUACAGAAGUUGAGAAGAGUGUGAAGAAAAAAAACACAGAGGCACAAUAG
rnacentral:rRNA from 1 species